rnacentral:lncRNA from 1 species
GAUUUUGAACUCAAGUCUUCCUGCCUCCAAAUCCAGUGCUCUAAACAUGGAGCUACAGCUCAGAAGAGAAGGUACAUUUAGGAAAAGUUUUUUUUUUUUAUUUUUUUUUUUUUUUUGAAGACAAAUGUUCAAAGUUUAUUAAACAUUAAGAAUUAACAGACAAAAGUUUGGGUUGAACAACAUAUAUGAUGCAAUCCUGUAUCAUGACGCACAAUUU